rnacentral:sRNA from 1 species
GCCAGGCGUGGUGGCUCACGCCUGUAAUUCCAGCACUUUAGGAGGCCGAGGCGGGUGAAUUGCUUGAGGUCAGGAGUUUGAGAUCAGCCUGACCAACAUGGUGAAACCCUGUUUUUACUAAAAAUACAAAAAGUAGCUGGGUGUAGUGGCAGGUGCCUGUAAUCCCAGCUACUCUGGAGGCUGAGGCAGGAGAAUCACUUGAACCUGGGAGGCAGAGGUUGUAGUGAGCUGAGAUUGUGCCACUGAACUCCAGCCUGGGCAACAGAGCAAGACUCUGUCUUA